GUCUACAUCCAUGCCACCCUGAACAUGCCCAAUCCCAUUUGACCUCGGAAGCUAAGCAGGGUCAGGCCUGGUUAGUACCUGGAUGGGAGACCACCUAGGAAGAUUAGGUGCUGUAGGCA
rnacentral:rRNA from 1 species